UGUGAUAAAGGAUGGAUAAAACCUGUUCAAAAAUAGUAAAAAUGCAAAUGUUAAUUAUUUUUUAUUACAAUAAAAUUAAAAUUUCUGCUAAAUGUCAUGGCUGAAUGGUGCCAGAAGAUGUACAAAAAGCCUCAUAUCCAUCUAUGAGAUGUAAUAUUGCCAAUAGCUGGAAUUUCCAGUGCAUCAUCUCAUAAAGGUGAAGCAUGGAGCAUGGACCUCUAGGACUUGGAAGUCCUAGACUGAUGCUAAUACCUCAGUGUUCAUUUAAAACAUAUGAAUUCAAUUCUAAUCUGGUGGUUGUUGUGCAGAAAAACUAAAGAACCUGAACUAGAAAAGGCAGCAAAUAGAAAAGUUUGCCCUUCAGGGCCAGGGGGAAGUCAAGUGCAUUUAACACUUCUCAAGAGAACUGGACUCCCACUGUCCAACUGUCCACUUUAACCACAUCAUUCACAAGUGUGGUCUCCCCAGAUGCACUCAAAGAAGAAUAUCUUCUGGUUGCUGCCACUGGAGCAACUUAGCAAACUACCUGAGCAAUUUGGCAAACUAUCUGCUACGGAGCCCCUUUCUUUGGAGGUGUCAUGGAGUCAGGGAAGACUGGCUACAUGAACUGUCCUUGUUAGAACUGCAAUCUGCCCCUCACCACCAUUUUCCCUUGUGAUCAUUCCCUCAUGACAGGACAGAAGCAAAUCAAUUUAUUAGAUUUAACCCCUACUCUUGAUUGCUGCUGAACUGGUUGAAGAGAAAGGGAUGCUGAAAGCAGCUGUACACUGAAUUUUUCUUUCUGAUGGGCUGCAGAAAGUCCCACUGGGUGUGAGCUGCGGGGCACACAGUGUGACCUGGGGGAGGUGCACAGAUGCUGUAAAUUACUUUGGAUGCCAGUAGCAUGACCCUGGGCCAGCUGUGUAUCAGACCAGACUGGUGGCAUAGGUUACGAUAAUACAACUGCUGCUGAACUUUUGGUCAAAGCCUUGUAUAUUUUGCAGUUUUCUGAAUAUAUCUCAAGAUCUUCAGGUUUUAUCAUCUGCAGAUAAUUGCUGCAAACAAACAGAUAUUAUUCAAGUGGAAGAAGAGGAAAACACAUCUGCAGCAACACCGGCAAACAGAAGUUUGGAGGUAGCAAAUGAAUCAUGUGAAACUAGGACAGACCUAGCAAGGAACAGACACUGUUCAUCUGUGCAGUAAAACCCACUUACUUUAAGCCACAGCUGUAAAAUUAAUGGAGCUUUGCUGAUAAAGAACAGAUCUUGGCCAUGCAGAAAGCAUGUUGAUCACCUAUAUUGUGUACAGAUGGCUUUUGAAAGUGUAUCCAGACUGGUGAUUCCAGAACAGAGCUGAGAAUAUAACAAAAAUGGUGACAUGUAAUAUUUAGUCUCACGGUAAGAUGCAGAAUCUGGACACAAAAUGGCCUUCCAAAAAAACCCAUCUAGAUUGUCUCAAUUUCCUAAAGCUAGUCCCAUGCUGCUGCCCACUCACUGCACCCCUCCCUCCCCCUUUUCCCAGAUCCUGCUUUAUCACCCUUUUUUAAAUCUGCUGUUUGAAUUUCCAUUCCCAUGCACAAGCAGACCCUGGCACAAGUUCAGCCAGGGAAGGCUUGUACUCCAACCUUUCUCCUAUAGGAACAGGUUCCAAGUGCUCUGCCCAAGAAAUUGCUUGCCCAAUACAAGCUUGCCUGGAGUUAUAUGAAAGCAGACCCGAGGGAAAUGGGUGGAACAAAAGCCCUUGCUGAAGAUGGCGUAUAGGAUGAUGGAGGAGAAGGGUAAUGGUCAAGCUCAACAGCCCAGGAACAUUUCACAAUGUCUUGGACUCCUCAUUCCUAAAGCUCAGCCUGCCACUGGAAUACUGUGUAAACUUGAGGACCAGUGUAUUGUACUUCUUCUGAAAGCCAAUGAAAUACAAGUGACAAACAAUAACAACAGUGACUUCCCUGAAAAUGAACUGCAAAACAAAGAAGGCUAACUUUUCCAUUCACAGUACUUCAAUAAAAAAAGUUCUUGAGCAUUACCAAGGCUGCAAUGCACACUAAUUUUUGCACUCAAACAAAAGCUGCAGGUGAAGGUGUCUUGAUGCACUGAGAUCAGAGCUGAACUUCAGAGUGAAUGUUGUCAAAUGACACUGCAACGUUCCAAGCUUGAAGCCAGUGCUUUAAAAGUGAAUUAACUCUGGUAUAAGAAAUUUGUGGAUUUUUAAGAAAAUAUGCUUUCCAUCACCUCAGAGCUAUGGAUGUUAACACCUGCUGCUGGCAGUAUUCAGUCAGUCAAUCUGUCAUCUUCCCUGAAAAUAGAUUAAAUAAGCUAUAUAUAAUUGCUCUUAUUGGCUAAAAAGAGGAAGAUUCACGGAAAUAUUAGAGACUGAUAGACUAAAGACUACUAAAGUGGUAUGACAUAUUUAUGGAAGCACAGAAGCACAGAACAAUUGAGGUUGGAAAGGUCUGCUGAAGAUAAUGCACUCCAAGCUCAAGCAGGGUCAAAGCAGAUUAUCCAGGACCAUAUCCAGUUGGGUUUAAGAAUCGAGACUCUGCACCUUCCUUGGCCAAUCUGUUCAGCUGUUUGACCAUCCCUGCAGUAAAACAGAGUUUUGCUGUGCCCAGGUGUAUUCUCAGGUGUUUCAAUUUCUGCCCAUUGCCUUUCUUUCUGCCAGUGGAAAUUAUUGAGGAGAGUUUUUGCUCCUUCUCAUCAGGUAUUUAUGAACAAUGGUAAGAUCUCUCCUGAGUUCCCAGAUUCCUCUGGGGUCCCUCUCAACAUUCCAGAUCUCUAAGCCUCUCCCUAUAUGUCAGAUGCUUCAAUCAUUCAAUCAUCUUCAUGACUCUGAGGUGUAUUUAGCCUAUCAUGUCCAUACCUUUCUUGUUUCCCACCCCUGCUCAAUCAGACAACAUCUCAAUAUUUCAUGCACACUGGCUGUCUUAGAAGUUAGUAGACUUUGUAGACUUAGAACUUAGUAAAGAAAUUUAAUGCUUAAAAAUAUUGUUAUAACCCUAUAGUAAGAACUGCUUUUGGAUGCAUUACACUUAUUUAUAUUGAUUAUUUAUAUUGUGUGGUAUAGUGUGGUAACCAAUGUAAAAAUAAUUAUAACUUUUAAUAACAAUUAAUAAAUUAAUUUAAUUAAUAAAUUUGUUAAAUUUAAUAUUUAAUAUUUAAAAAUAACAGGAGUCCUAUCAGACUAAUUAAAGCCUUGUCUACUGUAAAUCUUUUAAUUUACUUUUUAUUUUUUGUAAAUAACAGAAGUUUACCCUUGGUCUAUCAUUUUAGUAUUUAUUUAUGUAACAUUUUCUUUAUGAUCAUGAAGUAAUUUACCAGGCAAGUCCAGCCAUGACAUAACUAUUGAUGGAAAAAUAAGCAAUGAGAACUGCGUAUUCUCAUGCAGAAAUAGAAAUACUAGGGUAAGUGUUCAGAUGCCCCAAAAAAGGCACUUAAAUGCUGAAAAAUAAGUUAGUCUAGGUAAGAAAUGAAGACAGUCUGCUGGGGAAGAAUGUAAAUCUUGGAAAAUAAGGCUUCAAGAUACCCAGAAUAUCCAGCUCCUCGUGUCUUCCACAGUGUAAUGCUGGGGGCAAGAAGAAGUAAUGUGAUCCUUGUGUAGGUAAAGAGUAGCUAUAGGGUCAUGAGCUUGCCUUUAGCUGCACUGCUGUGCAGGCUGAAAUGAUAAUCCAUUGCAUCUGCCUCUGUAAUUCAAGGAGGGUGUAUUGAGACAGCUUGAAGGAAGGCACUCAAAGUGAUCUAUGAAUUGCAAAACAAUGUGAGACUCAUAGUGCUCAACCCUUCGAGCUUGUUGAAAAGCAGCCUGAAAGAUCAUUUCACACAUAAGUGAAUCUGAUGGGUGGAAACUUUAUAACAUUCUUAGAAAAAGUCAGAACAGGAUUCAGUGACUGGUGGUUAAUGUUAGAAAACAUUAGCCUUAAGGUAAGAAGACUUUUACUUGCUGUGCAGAUAAUUAAACAUUGGGGAGGUGCUGGACUCACCAUAGUUCAGAGAAAUAUAAAUUAGCUUGGAGAAUAAAAAAAGGGGGAAAUAAAAGAAAGAAAAAAACUUUACUUCACCUAAGAAGGGUACUGCCCAAAGAAGGGUAACUCAGAAUUAGGACACAUGGUGUUAGAGAAUGCCACUUCAAAUAUUUUCUCCAGGAGUCAGAGGAAAAUUUUCCUCUAGGCAAAAUCAAGGAAGUUUUUUUGC